UGGGGAAUAUUGCACAAUGGGGGAAACCCUGAUGCAGCGACGCCGCGUGAACGAAGAAGGUAUUCGUAUCGUAAAGUUCUGUCCUAUGGGAAGAUAAUGACAGUACCAUAGAAGAAAGCUCCGGCUAAAUACGUGCCAGCAGCCGCGGUAAUACGUAUGGAGCGAGCGUUGUCCGGAAUUAUUGGGCGUAAAGGGUACGCAGGCGGUUUAAUAAGUCGAAUGUUAAAGAUCGGGGCUCAACCCCGUAAAGCAUUGGAAACUGAUAAACUUGAGUAGUGGAGAGGAAAGUGGAAUUCCUAGUGUAGUGGGGAAAUACGUAGAUAUUAGGAGGAAUACCAGUAGCGAAGGCGACUUUCUGGACACAAACUGACGCUGAGGUACGAAAGCGUGGGGAGCAAACAGG
rnacentral:rRNA from 2 species